UUGCUGGGAUAGUUCAGUUUGUAGAGCAUGAGACUCUUAAUCUCAGGGUCAUGGGUUUCAGCCCACAUUGGGCAAA